rnacentral:rRNA from 1 species
AGACACGGCCCAGACUCCUACGGGAGGCAGCAGUAGGGAAUCUUAGACAAUGGGGGCAACCCUGAUCUAGCCAUGCCGCGUGUGUGAUGAAGGCCCUAGGGUCGUAAAGCACUUUCGCCAGAGAUGAUAAUGACAGUAUCUGGUAAAGAAACCCCGGCUAACUCCGCGCCAGCAGCCGCGGUAAUACGGAGGGGGUUAGCGUUGUUCGGAAUUACUGGGCGUAAAGCGCACGUAGGCGGACUGGAAAGUUGGGGGUGAAAUCCCGGGGCUCAACCUCGGAACUGCCUCCAAAACUAUCAGUCUAGAGUUCGAGAGAGGUGAGUGGAAUUCCAAGUGUAGAGGUGAAAUUCGUGGAUAUUCGGAGGAACACCAGUGGCGAAGGCGGCUUACUGGCUCGAUACUGACGCUGAGGUGCGAAAGUGUGGGGAGCAAACAGGAUUAGAUACCCUGGUAGUCCACACCGUAAACGAUGAAUGCCAGACGUCAGCAAGUAUACUUGUUGGUGUCACACCUAACGGAUUAAGCAUUCCGCCUGGGGAGUACGGUCGCAAGAUUAAAACUCAAAGGAAUUGACGGGGGCCCGCACAAGCGGUGGAGCAUGUGGUUUAAUUCGA